rnacentral:rRNA from 1 species
AGGCAGCAGUGGGGAAUAUUGCACAAUGGGGGGGAACCCUGAUGCAGCGACGCCGCGUGAGGGAAGAAGGUUUUCGGAUUGUAAACCUCUGUCCUCUGUGACGAUAAUGACGGUAGCAGAGGAGGAAGCCACGGCUAACUACGUGCC